rnacentral:rRNA from 1 species
GACGAAGGGGGCUAGCGUUGUUCGGAAUUACUGGGCGUAAAGGGCGCGUAGGCGGUUGCUCAAGUCAGGCGUGAAAGCCCCGGGCUCAACCUGGGAAUUGCGCUUGAGACUGGGCGGCUUGAGUUCGGGAGAGGUGAGUGGAAUUCCCAGUGUAGAGGUGAAAUUCGUAGAUAUUGGGAAGAACACCGGUGGCGAAGGCGGCUCACUGGACCGACACUGACGCUGAGGCGCGAAAGCGUGGGGAGCAAACAGG